GAUGAACGCUAGCGGCAGGCCUAAUACAUGCCAGUCGGACGGGAUUCAGGAGCUUGCUUCUGAUGAGAGUGGCGCACGGGUGCGUAACACGUAUGUAACCUACCUUUAUCAGGGGGAUAGCCUCUCGAAAGAGAGAUUAAGCCCGCAUAAAAUCACAGCACAGCAUUGUGUAAUGAUCAAAUAUUUAUAGGAUAAAGAUGGGCAUGCGGAACAUUAGCUAGAUGGCGGGGUAACGGCCCACCAUGGCGACGAUGUUUAGGGGAUCUGAGAGGAUGGCCCCCCACACUGGUACUGAGACACGGACCAGACUCCUACGGGAGGCAGCAGUAAGGAAUAUUGGUCAAUGGGCGGAAGCCUGAACCAGCCAUGCCGCGUGCAGGAAGACGGCCCUACGGGUUGUAAACUGCUUUUAGACGGGAAUAAACCCAGAUACGUGUAUCUGGCUGAAUGUACUGUAAGAAUAAGGAUCGGCUAACUCCGUG
rnacentral:rRNA from 1 species